rfam:Schistocephalus solidus strain NST_G2 genome assembly, scaffold: SSLN_contig0023049
GGCCUUGUGGCUCAUAUGGCUCGAGCGUUGGCUGUACUAAAGCCUUCCCCUUGAUGGCGUGGGUUUGAAUCCCACCGAGGCCG